rnacentral:rRNA from 1 species
AAAAACCCAGGUGGUGUGAGAUGGAUCCGCGUCUGAUUAGCCAGUUGGCGGGGUAACGGCCCACCAAAGCGACGAUCAGUAGCCGACCUGAGAGGGUGACCGGCCACAUUGGGACUGAGACACGGCCCAAACUCCUACGGGAGGCAGCAGUGGGGAAUAUUGCACAAUGGGCGCAAGCCUGAUGCAGCGACGCCGCGUGAGUGAAGAAGUAUCUCGGUAUGUAAAGCUCUAUCAGCAGGGAAGAAAAUGACGGUACCUGACUAAGAAGCCCCGGCUAACUACGUGCCAGCAGCCGCGGUAAUACGUAGGGGGCAAGCGUUAUCCGGAUUUACUGGGUGUAAAGGGAGCGUAGACGGCGACGCAAGUCUGGAGUGAAAGCCCGGGGCCCAACCCCGGGACUGCUUUGGAAACUGUGCUGCUGGAGUGCAGGAGAGGUAAGUGGAAUUCCUAGUGUAGCGGUGAAAUGCGUAGAUAUUAGGAGGAACACCAGUGGCGAAGGCGGCUUACUGGACUGUAACUGACGUCGAGGCUCGAAAGCGUGGGGAGCAAACAGGAUUAGAUACCCUGGUAGUCCACGCCGUAAACGAAGAAUGCUAGGUGUCGGGGGGCAAAGCCCUUCG